UCUUGGUAGGAAUGAAUAGCGUUCCUAGAAGCAACGUUAGGACAAGAUUCAUUAAAUUUUCCCAACAAAGUUUUUUUUCGGGUUACAUAGAAGUUUGUGAAGUGAAAGCCUUUAGCUAUACACUGCGAUAAAGUGUUUCUUAGUAUUGAAGAUAUGAAAAACACAACUACAAAGUUGCGAAACCUACAUUGAGAAUGAAUCAAAUAAUAUGUUUGAUAAACAUGAUUAUUGUUGUCGGCAAAUAAAAUGUUUCACUAAAAUUUCAA